rnacentral:rRNA from 1 species
AGGGUGUAAACGCUGCAGACUUGGUGUUGGAGGCCCUUUGGGGGCAUUCAGUGCCGGAGAGAAGUUGUUAAGUCUGCUACUUGGGGAGUACGUCCGCAAGGAUGAAACUUAAAGGAAUUGGCGGGGGAGCACCGCAACGGGAGGAGCGUGCGGUUUAAUUGGAUUCAACACCGUAAAACUCACCAGGGAAGACUGUUACAUGAAGGCCGAGAUGAAGACUCUGCUAGAUUUUCAGAGAGGAGGUGCAUGGCCGUCAGUGACU